rnacentral:rRNA from 1 species
CCUACGGGUGGCAGCAGUGAGGAAUAUUGGUCAAUGGACGAGAGUCUGAACCAGCCAAGUAGCGUGAAGGAUGACUGCCCUAUGGGUUGUAAACUUCUUUUAUAAAGGAAUAAAACGAGGCACGUGUGCCUGUUUGCAUGUACUUUAUGAAUAAGGAACGGCUAACUACGUGCCAGCAGCCGCGGUAAUACGGAGGAUCCGAGCGUUAUCCGGAUUUAUUGGGUUUAAAGGGAGCGUAGAUGGGUUGUUAAGUCAGUUGUGAAAGUUUGCGGCUCAACCGUAAAAUUGCAAUUGAUACUGGCAGUCUUGAGUACAGUUGAGGUAGGCGGAAUUCGUGGUGUAGCGGUGAAAUGCUUAGAUAUCACGAAGAACCCCGAUUGCGAAGGCAGCUUACUAAACUGUGACUGACAUUGAUGCUCGAAAGUGUGGGUAUCAAACAGGAUUAGAUACCCCAGUAGUC